rnacentral:lncRNA from 10 species
GUCUUGUGCCCUUUGCAAGAGGCAUCUUUGGUUUCAUCAGUCUCUCAGUCCCUCAAGCAAUCUCAUGGCAGCUGCUGUAGAAACUGCAGUGAGAGUUCACAGGGGCCAAAACUCUGAGAGUGGAGAGCCUUCCCCUCUGGGCACAGAAACGCUCUUCAGACCAUACUCCUACUGCCAGGGGAUGGAGAAGGCAUGGUGUCAGCAAUUCAAGACUGUUUUUCCUACCUCUUCAGUGUCUCUUUCGGCAAAAUGAAGUGAAAAUCAGACUUGUAACUGAAGAAGCCAUCAACCAAGAAAUUUCCAACAGACCCAGAUGGAAAAAGUCCCAGUGAAAGCCUGUUCUUUAGCCAAAGGGGCCAGAAAAGAGCAAGAUAGCAGGACAAGAUCUCUGCCAUCAUGUGAGAGAGAGCCUGAGUUAGCCUGCUGGAUGGUCAAAGAUGAGUGGUGCAGCUAAGUGAAAGCCUGCUGACUUGUAGACAUAUGAGUAAGGCCAUGCUUGAUCACCUGGCUGCCAGCUGGCCUGCCAACUAAUUGCAGGUACUUGAAAGAGUCCAGCAGAGAUCAGCCACCCCAGGUCAAAUAAACACCCAGCCCCCUCCCUGAGAAUGAUGAACUAAAUAAAUGUCUUAAGUACUAAGUUUUGGGUGUUUGCUACAUAGCAAAAGCUAAUUGAUACUGUUCCCAAGGAGUGGAAAACUUCUGUAACAAAAAACAAAAAAUUCUGGCAUUGGUUUUGGGAUUGGGCAAUGGGUAGAGGCUAGAAAAAUGGCAAGGAAGCUGCCAUAGCAACCUAGAAAAAUGGCAACCCAUGCUAUAAAAUAGGGCAAUUGGUCAAUAAUUUUUGAAGUGGUUUGUUAUGCAGCAAUAGCCUACUGAUACACCAUGUGAAUUAUAGCAAGGAAUAGCUAAGGCAAAACAAAACAUUGGAUGAGUAGCAUAGUUCAUUCUAAAGAACCACUAAGGCUUGCUCAGGAAUAUGUACUAAUUCAGGUGGCAUCUGUUAACUAUCACUGAGCAUAAUAUUGGAGGAUAAAUCUGCUUUGCUUAUUGCCACCCCCGUAGCUUAGAAGCUACUCCUAAAACAGCAAGGAUGUCACUGUGGCAGUGGGCAAGGAUUAAUUCCCUCAUUUAUUUAUUCAUUUAUUAAUUCAACAAA